rnacentral:rRNA from 1 species
AUUCCAGCUCUAAUAGCGUAUAUUAAUGUUGUUGCAGUUAAAAAGCUCGUAGCUGGAUUUUGGUGUUUGACAAACGGUCGGCCUUACGGUUUGUACUGUUUGUUGGCACUUCUUUUCUGGGGAACUCACUGUUCUUAAUUGAAGGGUGUUGUAACGCAGAUCGUUUACUUUGAAAAAAUUAGAGUGUUCAAAGCAGGCCAACGCAUUGAAUACAUUAGCAUGGAAUAAUGGAAUAGGACUUUGGUCUUAUUUUGUUGGUUUCUAAGGCCGAGGUAAUGAUUAAUAGGGAUAGUUGGGGGCGUUUAUAUUCCGUUGUCAGAGGUGAAAUUCUUGGAUUUACGGAAGAUAAACUACUGCGAAAGCAUUCGCCAAGGAUGUUUUCAUUA